GACGUAGGUGGCGAACGUUUAUCCGGAAUUAUUUGGGACGUAAAGGAUGCGUAGAAUGGUGGUAGUAAGUUAUCGGUGGUAAAUCGAGGCUCAACCUCGUGGAAGUCGGUAAUACUGCUAUGCUAGAGGAUAGGAGAGGUUAACGGAACUCCCUGUGGAGCGGUGAAAUGCGUAGAUAUAGGGAAGAACACCAAUAAGGCGAAGGCAGUUAACUUAUUCUAUUCCUGACAUUGAGGCAUGAAAGCGUGGGGAGCAAACGG
rnacentral:rRNA from 1 species